rnacentral:rRNA from 1 species
UGGGGAAUCUUGCACAAUGGGCGAAAGCCUGAUGCAGCGACGCCGCGUGAGGGAUGACGGCCUUCGGGUUGUAAACCUCUUUCGCCCGGGACGAAGCGAGAGUGACGGUACCGGGAGAAGAAGCACCGGCUAACUACGUGCCAGCAGCCGCGGUAAUACGUAGGGUGCGAGCGUUGUCCGGAAUUAUUGGGCGUAAAGAGCUCGUAGGCGGUUUGUUGCGUCGGCCGUGAAAACUUGGGGCUUAACUCCGAGCUUGCGGUCGAUACGGGCAGACUUGAGUUCGGCAGGGGAGACUGGAAUUCCUGGUGUAGCGGUGAAAUGCGCAGAUAUCAGGAGGAACACCGGUGGCGAAGGCGGGUCUCUGGGCCGAUACUGACGCUGAGGAGCGAAAGCGUGGGGAGCGAACAGGAUUAGAUACCCGGGUAGUCC